rnacentral:tRNA from 3 species
GGGCCCAUAGUUUAAUGGAUAGAAUGUCAGGCCUCGGACCUGAAGAUAGGGGUUCAAUUCCUCUUGGGCCCA